GAUGAACGCUGGCGGCGUGCCUAAUACAUGCAAGUCGAGCGAACAGACGAGGAGCUUGCUCCUCUGACGUUAGCGGCGGACGGGUGAGUAACACGUGGAUAACCUACCUAUAAGACUGGGAUAACUUCGGGAAACCGGAGCUAAUACCGGAUAAUAUAUUGAACCGCAUGGUUCAAUAGUGAAAGACGGUUUUGCUGUCACUUAUAGAUGGAUCCGCGCCGCAUUAGCUAGUUGGUAAGGUAACGGCUUACCAAGGCAACGAUGCGUAGCCGACCUGAGAGGGUGAUCGGCCACACUGGAACUGAGACACGGUCCAGACUCCUACGGGAGGCAGCAGUAGGGAAGCGUCCGCAAUGGGCGAAAGCCUGACGGAGCAACGCCGCGUGAGUGAUGAAGGUCUUCGGAUCGUAAAACUCUGUUAUUAGGGAAGAACAAAUGUGUAAGUAACUAUGCACGUCUUGACGGUACCUAAUCAGAAAGCCACGGCUAACUACGUG
rnacentral:rRNA from 1 species